rnacentral:rRNA from 1 species
CACGUAGGGCGCGAGCGUUGUCCGGAAUUAUUGGGCGUAAAGAGCUCGUAGGCGGCCUGUUGCGUCCGCUGUGAAAGCCCGGGGCUUAACCCCGGGUCGGCAGUGGAUACGGGCAGGCUAGAGGUAGGUAGGGGAGAAUGGAAUUCCCGGUGUAGCGGUGAAAUGCGCAGAUAUCAGGAGGAACACCGAUGGCGAAGGCAGGUCUCUGGGCAUUAACUGACGCUGAGGAGCGAAAGCAUGGGGAGCGAACAGG